AACGUAGGUGGCAAGCGUUAUCCGGAAUUACUGGGCGUAAAGGGUGUGCAGGCGGGGGAGCAAGUGGGGUAUGAAAUCUCCCAGCUUAACUGGGGAAGGGUAUGCCAGACUGCUGCUCUAGAGGACGAGAGAGGGGGGUGGAAUUCCGGGUGUAGUGGUGAAAUGCGUAGAGAUCCGGAGGAACCCCAGAGGCGAAGGCGGCCCCCUGGCUCGUACCUGACGCUCAGGCACGAAAGCAUGGGGAGCGAACGGG
rnacentral:rRNA from 1 species